rnacentral:rRNA from 1 species
AGAUUGAACGCUGGCGGCAUGCCUUACACAUGCAAGUCGAACGGCAGCACGGGAGCAAUCCUGGUGGCGAGUGGCGAACGGGUGAGUAAUAUAUCGGAACGUGCCCAGUCGUGGGGGAUAACGCAGUGAAAGCUGUGCUAAUACCGCAUACGAUCUAUGGAUGAAAGCGGGGGACUCGCAAGAGCCUCGCGCGAUUGGAGCGGCCGAUAUCAGAUUAGCUAGUUGGUGGGGUAAAAAGCCCACCAAGGCGACGAUCUGUAGCUGGUCUGAGAGGACGACCAGCCACACUGGAACUGAGACACGGUCCAGACUCCUACGGGAGGCAGCAGUGGGGAAUUUGGACAAUGGCGCAAGCCUGAUCCAGCAAUGCCGCGUGCAGGAUGAAGGCCUUACGGUUGUAAACGUGUCUUUUGUAACCGGUAAGUAAAGGUCUUACUUUACUAAUAAAGAGGAAUACAUAGACGUAACCGUAAGAA